UAAGGAAUAUUGGUCAAUGGACGCAAGUCUGAACCAGCCAUGCCGCGUGAAGGAUGAAGGUCCUCUGGAUUGUAAACUUCUUUUAUCUGGGACGAAAACGGGAUUUUUAUCUCAAUUGACGGUACCAGAGGAAUAAGCACCGGCUAACUCCGUGCCAGCAGCCGCGGUAAUACGGAGGGUGCGAGCGUUAUCCGGAUUUACUGGGUUUAAAGGGUGCGUAGGUGGGCUUAUAAGUCAGUGGUGAAAUCUUCCGGCUUAACCGGGAAACUGCCGUUGAUACUAUUUGUCUUGAAUAUUGCGGAGGUAAGCGGAAUAUGUCAUGUAGCGGUGAAAUGCUUAGAUAUGACAUAGAACACCAAUUGCGAAGGCAGCUUACUACACAAUCAUUGACACUGAGGCACGAAAGCGUGGGUAGCGAAC
rnacentral:rRNA from 1 species